CUGCCACUCAUCAUCCGCAAGAGAGACACGGAGUAUCAGCUCAUCCUCUUUGACAGGCUGCUCAAGGCUUAUCCGUAUAAGAAGAACUUAGUGUGGAAAGAAGCCAGAUUGGACGUUCCUCCUCUUGUUCGAGGACUGGCGUGGGCUGCUUUGCUGGGAAUUGAGGGUGAUAUUCAGGCUAAGUACGACAGCAUUGACAAAGACACCCCCAUUCCCACUGACAGACAGAUUGAAGUGGACAUCCCCCGCUGUCAUCAGUACGAUGAGCUGCUGUCGUCUCCUGAGGGCCACACCAAGUUCAGGCGUUACUGAAAAACAUUCAAGACGAUCUAACUCGCUGGGUCAACCUGCCCCU